GAAUUGACGGGGCCCGCACAAGCGGUGAGCAUGUGGUUUAAUUCGACGCAACGCGAAGAACCUUACCAGGGCUUGACAUCCCCUGACCGUCUAUGAAAGUAGGCUUUCUACCUUCGGGUAGACAGGGAGACAGGUGGUGCAUGGUUGUCGUCAGCUCGUGUCGUGAGAUGUUGGGUUAAGUCCCGCAACGAGCGCAACCCUUACGGUUAGUUGCCAGCGGGUUAUGCCGGGCACUCUAGCUGAACUGCCGUUGACAAAACGGAGGAAGGUGGGGAUGACGUCAAAUCAUCAUGCCCUUUAUGUCCUGGGCUACACACGUGCUACAAUGGCCUGUACAGAGGGAAGCGAAAGGGUGACCUGGAGCGAAUCCCAAAAAGCAGGUCUCAGUUCGGAUUGCAGGCUGCAACCCGCCUGCAUGAAGUCGGAAUCGCUAGUAAUCGCAGGUCAGCAUACUGUGGUGAAUACGUUCCCGGGCCUU
rnacentral:rRNA from 1 species